rnacentral:rRNA from 1 species
AUACGGAGGGUGCAAGCGUUACUCGGAAUUACUGGGCGUAAAGGACGCGUAGGCGGGUUAGAAAGUCAGAUGUGAAAGCCUAUGGCUUAACCAUAGAACUGCAUUUGAAACUUCUAAACUAGAGUGGGGGAGAGGUCAGUGGAAUUAGUGGUGUAGGGGUAAAAUCCGUAGAGAUCACUAGGAAUACUCAUUGCGAAGGCGACUGAUUGGAACUUAACUGACGCUGAGGCGUGAAAGCGUGGGGAGCAAACAGGAUUAGAAACCCCGGUAGUCC